rnacentral:tRNA from 2 species
GCGCCCGUAGCUCAACCGGACAGAGCGGCGGACUUCUAAUCCGCAGGUUGCAGGUUCGAGUCCUGCCGGGCGUG